rnacentral:rRNA from 1 species
GGUUAAGCGACUAAGCGUACACGGUGGAUGCCUAGGCAAUCAGAGGCGAUGAAGGACGUGCUAAUCUGCGAUAAGCGUCGGUAAGGUGAUAUGAACCGUUACAACCGACGAUUUCCGAAUGGGGAAACCCAGUGCAAUUCGUUGCACUAUCGUUUGAUGAAUACAUAGUCAAACGAAGCGAACCGGGGGAACUGAAACAUCUCAGUACCCCGAGGAAAAGAAAUCAACCGAGAUUCCCCUAGUAGCGG